GCGCCUGUAGCUCAGCUGGAUAGAGCAUUAGCCUCCGACGCUAAGUGCCGUGCGUUCGAAUCGCAUCAGGCGUACCA
rnacentral:tRNA from 1 species